CUUUCUGCCCUUUCCCUUGCGGGUCGCACCCCGCCCAGGCCCCUCUCCCGCCCCAGGUCUCUCAGUCUUUUUUCUCAGGGCGUGUAGCUUCCUGCACACCCGGAAGCAGAUCGCGCGGGGAAAAGAUCACAGCGCUGCGCGUCAGUUUCCGUCUACCUGGACUAAACAUUUGCUUCGCCCCGUCUGCCUGAAUCGAACGUGCACUUGGCAGUCUUCCCUUGUCCAUACCCGUUUCCUGGGGAUCGCUACGGACCUUAAAAUACCAGCAACAGCCCCUUCGCCCCAAGGUCUUGCUCUGUCAGACUAGAGUACAGUGCCAUGAUCUCCGCUCACUGCAGCCUCAACCUCCUGGGCUCAAGCAGUCUUUCUGCCUCAGAGUGCUGGGAUUACAGACGGGAGCCACCACGCCAGGCCUACGAGAUUUGACUUGUAAAGAAUUAAUUAUAUUGACUGAGAGAGAAGCCCAGAAGAGGAAGAAGAGGAAAGAAAAGGAGUCAGGGAUGGCUCUUACACAGGGACCUUUGACAUUCAGGGAUGUAGCCAUAGAAUUCUCUCAGGAGGAGUGGAAAUCCCUGGACCCUGUGCAGAAAGCUUUGUACUGGGAUGUGAUGUUGGAGAACUACAGGAACCUGGUCUUCCUGGGUUUGAUGUGUGAAUAAUUACAUUGACUGAGAAAGAAACCCAGAAGAGGAAGAAGAGGAAGGAAAAGGAGUCAGUGAUGGCUACUCAGGGGCAUUUGACAUUCAAGGAUGUAGCCAUAGAAUUCUCUCAGGAGGAGUGGAAAUGCCUGGAGCCUGUGCAGAAAGCUUUGUACAAGGAUGUGAUGUUGGAGAACUAUAGGAACCUGGUCUUCCUAGGUAUCUCUCCUAAAUGUGUGAUCAAGGAAUUACCACCAACAGAGAACAGUAAUACAGGAGAAAGGUUCCAAACAGUGGCACUGGAAAGACAUCAAAGCUAUGAUAUUGAAAAUUUAUACUUCAGGGAAAUACAGAAACAUCUACAUGACCUUGAAUUUCAAUGGAAAGAUGGUGAAACAAAUGAUAAAGAAGUGCCAGUGCCCCAUGAAAACAAUCUUACUGGUAAAAGAGAUCAACAUAGUCAAGGGGAUGUAGAAAACAAUCAUAUUGAAAACCAGCUUACAUCAAACUUUGAGUCACGUCUGGCUGAACUGCAGAAAGUUCAAACUGAAGGGAGACUUUAUGAAUGUAAUGAAACGGAGAAGACAGGUAAUAAUGGUUGUUUAGUUUCUCCACACAUUAGGGAAAAAACGUAUGUAUGUAAUGAAUGUGGCAAAGCCUUUAAAGCGUCUUCCAGCCUUAUUAAUCAUCAGAGGAUACAUACUACAGAGAAACCUUACAAAUGCAAUGAGUGUGGCAAAGCCUUUCAUCGGGCCUCACUACUAACUGUACACAAGGUAGUCCAUACAAGAGGGAAAUCAUAUCAAUGUGAUGUAUGUGGCAAGAUCUUCAGAAAAAAUUCAUAUUUUGUAAGACACCAAAGGAGUCACACUGGACAGAAACCCUACAUAUGUAAUGAAUGUGGCAAGUCCUUUAGUAAAAGUUCCCACCUUGCAGUUCAUCAGAGAAUUCAUACCGGUGAAAAACCUUACAAAUGUAAUCUGUGUGGGAAAUCCUUUAGUCAGCGUGUCCAUCUUAGACUUCAUCAGACAGUUCAUACUGGAGAGAGACCCUUCAAAUGUAAUGAGUGUGGCAAAACCUUUAAACGGAGCUCAAACCUCACUGUACAUCAGGUAAUCCAUGCAGGAAAGAAACCAUAUAAAUGUGAUGUAUGUGGCAAGGCAUUCAGACAUAGAUCAAAUCUUGUAUGUCACCGGAGAAUCCACAGUGGAGAGAAACAAUACAAAUGCAAUGAAUGUGGCAAGGUCUUCAGUAAACGUUCAAGUCUUGCAGUGCAUCGACGAAUUCACACUGUAGAGAAACCUUGCAAAUGCAAUGAAUGUGGCAAGGUCUUCAGUAAACGUUCAAGUCUUGCAGUGCAUCAGAGAAUUCAUACUGGACAGAAAACUUACAAAUGCAAUAAAUGUGGCAAGGUGUACAGUAAGCAUUCACAUCUUGCAGUGCAUUGGAGAAUUCAUACCGGCGAGAAAGCUUAUAAAUGCAAUGAAUGUGGCAAAGUUUUCAGCAUACAUUCACGACUUGCAGCUCAUCAGAGAAUUCAUACUGGAGAGAAACCUUACAAAUGCAAUGAAUGUGGCAAGGUCUUCAGUCAACAUUCACGUCUUGCAGUGCAUCGGAGAAUUCAUACUGGAGAGAAACCUUACAAAUGCAAAGAAUGUGGCAAGGUCUUCAGUGACCGUUCAGCUUUUGCAAGGCAUCGGAGAAUUCAUACUGGAGAGAAGCCUUACAAAUGCAAAGAAUGUGGCAAGGUCUUCAGUCAAUGUUCACGUCUUACAGUGCAUCGGAGAAUUCAUAGUGGAGAGAAACCUUACAAAUGCAAUGAAUGCGGCAAGGUCUACAGUCAGUAUUCACAUCUUGUAGGGCAUCGAAGAGUUCAUACUGGAGAGAAACCAUACAAAUGUCAUGAAUGUGGCAAAGCCUUUAAUCAGGGCUCCACACUCAAUAGACAUCAGAGAAUUCAUACCGGAGAGAAACCUUACAAAUGCAAUCAGUGUGGGAAUUCCUUUAGUCAGCGUGUCCAUCUUAGACUUCAUCAGACUGUUCAUACUGGAGACAGACCUUACAAAUGUAAUGAGUGUGGCAAAACCUUUAAACGGAGCUCAAACCUCACUGCACAUCAGAUAAUUCAUGCAGGAAAGAAACCAUAUAAAUGUGAUGAAUGUGGCAAGGUAUUCAGGCAUAGUUCACAUCUUGUAAGUCACCAGAGAAUCCACACUGGAGAGAAAAGAUACAAAUGUAUUGAAUGUGGCAAAGCCUUUGGGCGGUUGUUUUCCCUCAGCAAACACCAAAGAAUUCAUUCUGGCAAAAAACCUUAUAAAUGUAAUGAGUGUGGGAAAUCUUUUAUUUGUCGCUCAGGCCUCACUAAACAUCAGAUAAAACAUGCUGGAGAGAACCUUACAACUAAACUCAAUGUGGAAAGGCCGUUAGAUGUUGUCCUAACCUCUGGGAUCCCCAAAUAAUUUAUACUUACUCAUAUAGCUUGUAUAUUUGUCCUUUCCCUUUGAAGUCUCAUGUGGAAUUGUAGUAAUCUCCAGUAUUGGAGGUGGAGCCUAGUGGGAGGUGAUUGGAUGAUGGGGGUGGCUUUCUCAAGAAAGUUUUAGUACCAUCCCCUUGUUGCUGUCCUUGUGAUAGUUCUCAUGAGGUCUGGCUCAUGCCUGUAAUCCCAGCACUUUGGGAGGCUGAGGUGGGCGGAUCACUUGAGGUCAGGAGUUCAAGAGCAGCCUGGCCAACAUGGUGAAACCCUGUUUCUGCCAAAAAUACAAAAAUUAGCUGGGCUUCGUGGCGGGUACUGGUAGUACCAGCUACUCGAGAGGCUGAGUCAGGAGAAUUGCUUGAACC
rnacentral:lncRNA from 1 species